GAUGAACGCUGGCGGCGUGCUUAACACAUGCAAGUCGAGCGGAAAGGCUCCUGCUUGCAGGGGUACUCGAGUGGCGAACGGGUGAGUAACACGUGGGUGAUCUGCCCUGCACUUCGGGAUAAGCCUUGGAAACUGGGUCUAAUACCGGAUAGGACCACAUUUUGGAUGGUGUGGUGGAAAGUUUUUCGGUGUGGGAUGAGCUCGCGGCCUAUCAGCUUGUUGGUGGGGUAAUGGCCUACCAAGGCGUCGACGGGUAGCCGGCCUGAGAGGGUGUACGGCCACAUUGGGACUGAGAGACGGCCCAGACUCCUACGGGAGGCAGCAGUGGGGAAUAUUGCACAAUGGGCGCAAGCCUGAUGCAGCGACGCCGCGUGGGGGAUGACGGCCUUCGGGUUGUAAACUCCUUUCGCUAGGGACGAAGCGAAAGUGACGGUACCUGGAGAAGAAGCACCGGCUAACUACGUG
rnacentral:rRNA from 1 species